GUGCCCCGGCGACUAGAUCUCUGUUUCUCCAGAGCGGGUGCAGCCUGGGCAGCAGCAGGGCAAGAUUCCCCUCCACUAACUGCCUGGCCAAUGUGCCACAACCCUGCCCUGGAGACAUCAGCCUGGCUAGCAAAGGCGGUGGGGUCACUGGCAGUCCGUGGAUAUG
rnacentral:sRNA from 1 species